GUUUAAGUGCCUACACGUUGUGUGUCUCCUGUUAGCAAACUUUCAUCCAUCUUUAUCAGAUAAAGACAACAGUAAGGAGGAAGGCAGAGACCAAAAGGACAGUGUUACGAACAGAACGGGUAAGUCUCUUCUUAAACUUAUAAUAAAGUAAAGUAGUG